CAAUAGCGUAUAUUAAAGUUGUUGCAGUUAAAAGCUCGUAGUCGGAUUUUGGCAUCAUGCCGAACUGUCAGCCGAUUGGUUUGUACGGUUUGGCGGGUGCUCUCCUUCCGGAGGCUCGUUUCCUCUUUCAUUAGAGGGUUCGAUGGUUCCGGGUCUUUUACUUUGAAAAAUUAGAGUGUUCAAAGCAGGCCUAUGCUCUGAAUAGGUUAGCAUGGAAUAAUAAAAUAGGACUUUGGUUCUAUUUUGUUGGUUUCUAGGACCGAAGUAAUGAUUAAUAGGGACAGUUGGGGGCACUCGUAUUAACGCGUCAGAGGUGGAAUUCUUAGAUUGCGUUACGACGAACUACUGCGAAAGCAUUUGCCAAGGAUGUUUUCAUUGAUCAAGAACGAAAGUAUGGGGAUCGAAGACGAUUAGAUACCGU
rnacentral:rRNA from 1 species